AUACGGAGGGUGCGAGCGUUAAUCGGAAUUACUGGGCGUAAAGGGCGUGUAGGCGGAGAGGUCAGCUAGAGGUGAAAGCCCUGGGCUCAACCUAGGAAUUGCAUACGAUACUGGCAAGCUAGAGUAUGCUAGAGGGAAGUGGAAUUCCAGGUGUAGCGGUGAAAUGCGUAGAUAUCUGGAGGAACAUCAGUGGCGAAGGCGACUUCCUGGAUCAAUACUGACGCUGAGGUGCGAAAGCGUGGGGAGCAAACAGAAUUAGAAACCCCAGUAGUCC
rnacentral:rRNA from 1 species